UACGGGGGGAGCAAGCGUUGUUCGGAUUUACUGGGCGUAAAGGGCGCGUAGGCGGCAUGACAAGUCACUUGUGAAAUCUCCGGGCUUAACUCGGAACGGUCAAGUGAUACUGUCGCGCUAGAGUGCGGAAGGGGCAAUCAGAAUUCUUGGUGUAGCGGUGAAAUGCGUAGAUAUCAGGAAGAACACCCGUGGCUAAGGCGGCUCUCUAGUACGGUACUGACGCUGAGACGCGAAAGCGUGGGGAGCGAACAGG
rnacentral:rRNA from 1 species